CAAUCUCUUUUGUACUCAGCAAAAAAAAUACAAGAGGAACAACGGAGAUAUUGGGGAAAUGAAGACCUUAAAGUUGUUGUGAAGCGUUCUUGAUCCUCUUUCAAACUUGAUUGUGCCUGUGCUUGACAUCAGAUGCAGAACUUUGAUGAGGUAGCUGGUGAGAUAGUCUCCUAUUAUUUAAGUAUGAAUCGUUGAUAAACUCCUACUUGUGUGCUAACUACUUUCAAAUUACUGUGAAUGAAAAAUGUUGUGUUAUCAGAUAUUGUACAGACCAAAGAGAUAGGUAACUAAAUGUAAAUGGUUGGUGAUGUUUGUUAAA